AGCAGUCGCCACGGUAAAACGUAGGGUGCGAGCGUUAAUCGGAAUUACUGGGCGUAAAGCGUGCGCAGGCGGUUCGUUAAGACAGAUGUGAAAUCCCCGGGCUUAACCUGGGAACUGCAUUUGUGACUGGCGAGCUAGAGUAUGGCAGAGGGGGGUAGAAUUCCACGUGUAGCAGUGAAAUGCGUAGAGAUGUGGAGGAAUACCGAUGGCGAAGGCAGCCCCCUGGGCCAAUACUGACGCUCAUGCACGAAAGCGUGGGGAGCAAACAGGAUUAGAUACCCGCGUAGUCCCUGUCUCUUAUAC
rnacentral:rRNA from 1 species